UACGAAGGGGGCUAGCGUUGUUCGGAAUUACUGGGCGUAAAGCGCGUGUAGGCGGGUCUUUAAGUCAGGGGUGAAAUGCCAGGACUCAACCUUGGAACUGCCUUUGAUACUGGAGACCUUGAGUCCGGGAGAGGUGAGUGGAAUUCCGGGUGUAGCGGUGGAAUGCGUAGAGAUCCGGAAGAACACCAGUGGCGAAGGCGGCCCGCUGGGCAGUGGCUGACGCUGAGGCGCGACAGCGUGGGGAGCAAACAGG
rnacentral:rRNA from 1 species